AGAUUGAACGCUGGCGGCAUGCCUUACACGUGCAAGUCGAACGGCAGCAAGGGUGCUUGCACCUGGUGGCAGAGUGGCGAACGGGUGAGUAAUACAUCGGAACAUGUCCUGUAGUGGGGGAUAGCCCGGCGAAAGCCGGAUUAAUACCGCAUACGAUCUACGGAUGAAAGCGGGGGACCUUCGGGCCUCGCGCUAUAGGGUUGGCCGAUGGCUGAUUAGCUAGUUGGUGGGGUAAAGGCCUACCAAGGCGACGAUCAGUAGCUGGUCUGAGAGGACGACCAGCCACACUGGGUGACACGGCCCAGACUCCUACGGGAGGCAGCAGUGGGGAAUUUUGGACAAUGGGCGAAAGCCUGAUCCAGCAAUGCCGCGUGUGUGAAGAAGGCCUUCGGGUUGUAAAGCACUUUUGUCCGGAAAGAAAUCCUUGGCUCUAAUACAGUCGGGGGAUGACGGUACCGGAAGAAUAAGCACCGGCUAACUACGUGCCAGCAGCCGCGGUAAUACGUAGGGUGCGAGCGUUAAUCGGAAUUACUGGGCGUAAAGCGUGCGCAGGCGGUUUGCUAAGACCGAUGUGAAAUCCCCGGGCUCAACCUGGGAACUGCAUUGGUGACUGGCAGGCUAGAGUAUGGCAGAGGGGGGUAGAAUUCCACGUGUAGCAGUGAAAUGCGUAGAGAUGUGGAGGAAUACCGAUGGCGAAGGCGGCCCCCUGGGCCAAUACUGACGCUCAUGUGCCGAAGCGUGGGAGGCAAAGGAUA
rnacentral:rRNA from 1 species